CUCUCCCCACCCCCGUGGCCUUGUGCAGCCACCUGGGAAUUUGGAGUCUGGCUCCUAGAAACGAGGGAACAGACACAUCUCUCACCAGGUAGGACCCCAGUCGCUGCAGCCGUGAGUCUGCACCAAGCCUGGAAGCUCAGGGCCCUGCCGGAAUUUUGUGGUUCGACGCUCACGUCCGUUCUGUGGCAGUGAGGUUCCCCGUGCUUCCGUGAACAAUGGAGGAAUGCUUCACCUCCAGCUUGAGGGUUCACGCUCCGGGCUUGCCGCUUCAAUUAUGCCCCGCUCUUUGCAGAUUACUCUGAACCCGUUUUGUCUUCUCUAAAAAUGCAGGCUAGUUCCGAGAAGUUCCGGAAAGCCGUUUGCGUAGUUCCAACACUGCAGCUCCUGAAAUGCCCGCCUUUCCCUGGAAGUGGAGUCUGGCCGGAUCCUAGGCAAAGAAAUGAAUUUCUAACCACGCAAGCCCUUUCCCUGUCACAAGAUCUUGGAUGACAACCCGGCAGGGAAGCCCGAGGGCUAUUGUCAGGAGCGGCGGCCAAGCCUCGGAAUGACACAAUCGUACCAGAACCCUGAGCAGUCUGAAGAAUUAAAAAAAAAAAAAAA